rnacentral:rRNA from 1 species
GACGAACCGUGCGAACGUUAUUCGGAAUCACUGGGCUUAAAGCGCGUGUAGGCGGAUGGGUGCGUCAGUCGCUUAAAUCCCCCGGCUCAACCGGGGAACUGGCGCUGAUACGGCCCGUCUGGAGGAAAGUAGGGGGACCUGGAACUUCCGGUGGAGCGGUGAAAUGCGUUGAGAUCGGAAGGAACGCCCGUGGCGAAAGCGAGGUCCUGGGCUUUUACUGACGCUGAGACGCGAAAGCUAGGGGAGCAAACGGG